AUACCACUAUUUCAUACAGUUUAGGGAUGUGUCAUGGAUUUUGGUGAAAAACACGGAAUGUAUAUAGAUGUAAAUGCACUUAUUUUAAGAAAGUAACUCCACAGCUGUUGAUCCUCGAUGUUUCAUCAGAUUUUCUUUUAGAAAAUAUGAUUUUGGCCAUGAAGGCUUGUCUGCUUCUUGUUUUUGUUAUGAGGAAUUAAAAGACUAAGGAUCUGUCAUUCUUAACUUGUAGCCAUAUUGUUGUUUCUAUGUGAUGUUUGUGGUGUUGAUAGUAGUAUAAAAUGUAUAAUAUUAUAAUAUAAUAUAUCUUGAAGAAUUUGCACACUAGUUUUGACUGAAUAGCUUUUAAAAUAGUAGUCAGAGACAGCAACAUAGACUGACAUUGACUGCAUCAUGACAUGCACAGCAAUCUUUGUACAACUGGAUGAAUAAUAUCUAAUGUUUCACUUAGUUGAAUUCUUGGUGAACAAGACAGUGGCAGUUGUGCCACAGAACUGGUGCAGCGACGGCGUGACAUACUGGCCCAGCUACAAAAACGGCGGAAGAGUGGAUAGAGCUGCAAAAAAACGCAGAGGAGCCCGGAUCUGACUGGGGGAAGUUUGAUGUCCGAAUUAUAAAGUCAUGUGAUCAGUACUUAGAGGCUCGACACUUUAUGCAAAAGUCUUUGGUGUGCAACACAUCAGAGCUUCAUUCUGAAGAGGAAGAGGAAAUACAGCUCAGCAAAAGAAAACGAAAGGCGAUUCAUUACUUCGGUGAUACAAGCGAUGACAGUGAGGAUGAAGGUCAUCCAUCAAAGACAGCUAGACCCUCAUCUGCACCUGUCAUCCCUUCACCACCUU